UCUCCUCCGGCGCACCACCAGUGGUGCGACCACCACCCACAGCCAUCUCACUCGACGGUCGAGUUAGUUUUCGUUUCCUCCAUCGCCGGCAAACCACCACUUCCACCGCCACAACACCGCACAAAAUCCCCUGUUUCUUUUCCUUGUUUUCGCCCCUGUUCGUGUUGUCUCCCCUUCCUUUUCUCGUGUUCUGCCGCCGCAAACAACCACCGUCGCCUUCUGGCGCGAUUCCGUGCUGCGUCGCCGCCCAGACCUCCGGUCACCACCUUCCCCUCCGUCCUCUUCGUUCUCCCCUGUCCCUCGUUGCUCCCCUGCGCUUUCAAUUCCAGGAACCAAGUUUCAAUUAAAACUUUGGUUUCCCAAAUUCAUUUAAGCUGGCCCAAUUUUUAUUUGGGCUUUGGGAAAUCGGACUUGGAGCUCAGGACGAACGAUCCAUCGAACAGGAAGUAUAAACUACGGUUGAGGUACGAAGAAGAUCAUGUGAUGCCUUAGAGUGAGGAUGCAACCAUCAAAUUCACGAUCGAUGUUUAGUAAAGAUAACUAUGUCUCACGAGUAAUAAUGGAUGUAUUAACUAAACUCUAAGUUUAUUUUCAAGUAUUGAGUUAGAUUUUUAAUAUAAAUGUUUAAUCAAUGCUAGAAGCAUUUAUUAUUAAAGUUUAUGUAGUAAUUUAAAAAGGUUAUGUCGCCUUGUAUUUCCUACGAGGGAGAUACGGCAGUAACGCUCCAACUAAAUUAGGGUUUUCGCUGCUAAUUAAAGAUAAUUAACCUAAUUAAUGGUGUUUAGAAGUCGGGGUGUUACAUUUGGCGUUCUGUUUAUGAUUCAUUCACUUUAUGUGAU